UUUCUAGUAUUUUAUUUGAGAUCUGACCUGCCCCAAUGAAGUAUUUAAAUGGCUGCGGUAUNUUGACCGUACAAAGGUAGCAUAAUCAUUAGUUUAUUAAUUGUAGACUUGUAUGAAUGGUUUGACGAAAUAUUAACUGUCUCAUAUUAAAUUUUAAAAUUUAAAUUUUGAGUUAAAAUGCUUAAAUGUUAUUAUUGGACGAGAAGACCCUAUAGAUCUUUAUUUUUAAAUUUGUUAUAUUUUUUAGUUUAUAUUUUUAUAAUUAUUUUAUUUAUUUUGUUGGGGUGACAUUGAUAUAUAAAUAACUAUUUAUUUUAAUAUUCAAUUAUUUUUGUAUAUUUGACCUUUUAUUAUUGUUAAAAGAUUUAGAUACCUUAGGGAUAACAGCGUAAUUGUUUUUGAGAGUUUCUUAUCGACAAAAAAGAUUGCGACCUCGAUGUUGGAUUAAGAUUAUAUUUAGGUGUAGAUGCUUAAUUAUUAAGUCUGUUCGACUUUUAAAUUCUUA
rnacentral:rRNA from 1 species